rnacentral:rRNA from 1 species
AACGAACGUUGGCGGCGCGCCUAACACAUGCAAGUCGCACGAGAAAGGCAGUAAUGCCCGGUACAGUGGCGCACGGGUGAGUAACACGUGGGUAACGUUCCCUUGAGCGGGGGAUAACCUUCCGAAAGGAGGGCUAAUACCGCAUAAGACCACGAGCUCUACGGGGCUUGAGGUAAAAGCUGGCCUCUGUAUACAAGCUAGCACUUAAGGAUCGGCUCGCGGCCCAUCAGCUAGUUGGCGGUGUAAAAGACCACCAAGGCGAAGACGGGUAGCUGUUCUGAGAGGAUGAUCAGCCACACUGGAACUGAGACACGGUCCAGACUCCUACGGGAGGCAGCAGUGGGGAAUCUUGCGCAAUGGGCGAAAGCCUGACGCAGCGACGCCGCGUGGGUGAUGAAGGCCUUCGGGUUGUAAAGCCCUGUGGGGAGAGAAGAAUAAACUUGGUCGAAUACACCAAGCGAUGACGGUAUCUCCUUAGCAAGCACCGGCUAACUCUGUGCCAGCCGCCGCAGUAACAC